rnacentral:tRNA from 1 species
AGCUCUGUAGUGUAUAACAUAUUGGAUUGCAAAUCCAAAGAUGCAGUUUAAACGUCUGCCGGGGCUU